GACGAACGCUGGCGGCGUGCUUAACACAUGCAAGUCGAACGAAGUGGCGAACGGGUGAGUAACGCGUAAUCAACCUGCCCUUCAGAGGGGGACAACAGUUGGAAACGACUGCUAAUACCGCAUACUGAAGGAGUGGAUUGCGUCUGAUGAGCUAGUCGGAGGGGUAACGGCCAACCAAGGCGAUGGUCAGUAGCCGGGCUGAGAGGAUGGACGGCCACAUAGGGAAUGAGACACGGCCCAGACUCCUACGGGAGGCAGCAGUGGGGAAUCUUCCGCAAUGGACGGAAGUCGGACGGAGGAACGCCGCGUGGGUGAUGACGGCCUUCGGGUUGUAAAGCUCUGUUAAUCGGGACGCGGUACCGGAAUAGAAAGCCACGGCUAACUACGUGCCAGCAGCCGCGGUAAUUC
rnacentral:rRNA from 1 species